GGAUAGUCAGGAAAAGAAAAAGAAUUACAUUAAAUCACUGCUUGUUGCAGCCACUGAUUGUGAACCCCAAUAUUUGAUUCGUCUUCUCCAGACAAAGCUACGCAUUGGUUUGGCUGAACAAACACUGUUAGUCGCAAUAGCUCAUGCUUUUGUGUACUCAGAUAAGCAUUCAUCACCUCCUGCAGGUGUAGAUUCUCCUUUGGAAGAGGCUGCCAAGAUUGUUAAGCAAGUGUACUCUGUGAUUCCAGUUUAUGAAA
rnacentral:misc_RNA from 1 species